CUUCAGACUCUAUCAGUUCUUUCUACUGCAGUGGUUAUACUUUUUCAUCAUGAGUCCCUUGGAACUACAUUGAACCCCUUCAUUGCUGAUAUAGGAUAUACACGAAGAUAAAACAGUCCCUACCAUCAAGGAGCUCAAAUUCUAAUGGGGAAGAUAACAUACUCACAGAUCCCACCAACUUUAAAGGGAAGAAAAUGUGCAUCUUUAAUUUAAUGGGAUUGGUUUCCUUUGUAACCCUAUGUUUCUUAUUUAUGCAUUUGAAUUUCUAGAUUUAUAAUCCUAUGUAUUCUAUGUAUCUAUGUAGGCAUUUAAAAAACUUAAUUUAUUAAAUUAUUAAUUAAAAUUUUUAAUUUUAA
rnacentral:lncRNA from 1 species